rnacentral:rRNA from 1 species
UUGAACGCUGGCGGCAUGCUUUACACAUGCAAGUCGAACGGUAACAGGCCUUCGGGUGCUGACGAGUGGCGAACGGGUGAGUAAUGCAUCGGAACGUACCCAGAGGUGGGGGAUAACGCAGCGAAAGCUGUGCUAAUACUGCAUGUGAUCUGAGGAUGAAAGCGGGGGACCGAGCAGCAAUGUUUGGCCUCGCGCCUUUGGAGCGGCCGAUGUCGGAUUAGCUAGUUGGUGGGGUAAAGGCCUACCAAGGCGACGAUCCGUAGCUGGUCUGAGAGGACGACCAGCCACACUGGGACUGAGACACGGCCCAGACUCCUACGGGAGGCAGCAGUGGGGAAUUUUGGACAAUGGGCGCAAGCCUGAUCCAGCAAUGCCGCGUGCGGGAAGAAGGCCUUCGGGUUGUAAACCGCUUUUGGCAGGAACGAAACGGUGUCCGCUAAUACCGGGCGCUAAUGACGGUACCUGCAGAAUAAGCACCGGCUAACUACGUG